GACAGAGGCCCCGAGCGUUAGGCGGAAUCACUGGGCUUAAAGCGUGUGUAGGCGGAUCGUUAAGUGUCUUGUGAAAUCCCACGGCUCACCCGUGGAACCGCUGGGCAUCUGGCGAUCUUGGGCCAUUCAGGGGCAGCUGGAACAAGCGGUGGAGCGGUGAAAUGCGUAGAUAUCGCUUGGAACGCCAAAGGUGAAAACAGGCUGCU
rnacentral:rRNA from 1 species